ensembl:lncRNA
GGCGGAGCGUCAUUAGAGAUGCAAAGGUCAUCACAGGAAACGCUUGAGCACAUUUAGGCAGUGGGGAAAUGUCUGCUGCAAAAUGUAAACCGCUGAAGCGUCUCGUGAGGCAUCGCAGAGCUGUAAGGCGUGAAAAUCUGAACACGGCGUGAGCAAAAGCAUCAGGUUCAUGUUGGGUGUUGCACUCACCCACACUCUGUCCUGUCUGCAGCGAGUGCGACUGAUGGGUCGAACAGCAACAGGCUGCUUUCCUCUGGGACCAGUUUGGAUCUGUGAGCUGGGCAGCGACGCUGAGAUGGGACUCUCCCAGUUUGUUUUGUGUGGGUUUUUUUGUUUUGUUUUUUUAUUGGUAUAAAAAGUGAUGUUGUUUAAACAGCGUGUCUCGUUGUGAUGGUUUCUGUCUCCUUCUGGCUGAUUUAUCAGGUGGAACGAGGUGGGCGAAGUAUCAGAAUGAUCUCAGCUCAUAGAGAUUCUUCUGAGCAGCGUUCACAGAUGGCAUCUAUCCAACAAAGAGCGAUUUAAGCUGAACAUCGGCACGUUCUUCACUCCAGCACAGCAUCUGUGUGAGAGGGAACAGCCACAUCAGACUAGCUGGGCUGUACCUGUGCAG